GAAAAAUUUUGGAGCCUAAUCCUUGAGUUUAAAAUUCAAUUCUUGUGGGAAUACUACUAAGUGCAAAGUCCUCUACAACUUGGUACAAUUAGUUUGGCAAGAGGACAAGUUUAGUGCCAAGUGAAGAACUUGAAGAAAGAUUUUGGACGAAAUUGAAGUCGACGCCAAGCGAGCGUAAGGCGCUAUCGAGGUACAGACGCACCAGGUGAUACGCCGCCAGCGUAGGGUUCUAAUUCUGCUGUUUGAAGAGCUCCUUUGAUCCGGAGCGUAUACUUUUGGUAUAUAUCUUCUGUCUUCUGUAUACUCUGUAUGUAUGGAUAUUCUGGGUACGGCGGGGCCCUGUCCCGUCAUAUGAUUUUGUAUGUCUGUAGAGGCCUGUAGAUAGAUGUGUGGGUUACGGGUUUCGUCUGUAUGUUAGCCUUAUCGACUUAUAUGUAAAAGUCUGCAUGUUCAGGUAUAUAUAUAUAUAUGUUUGCGCGCGUGCCGUAUCUGUAUCGGCCUACUUCUGUAAUAUCCGUUUGAAAAAAAAAAUAAAAAAAAUCUGUACGAUACGAAAUUCGG